rnacentral:lncRNA from 1 species
CCUGGCCUAUCGGUGUCUACUCCGAGGUUGUACCUGCGGGAUCAAGUUCUCCUAACCCGAAGCUGCACUCCUAGGAUUCUUCAGUAUUUCGACUUCUAAAUUCUAGUAAGUUCUUGUUUUAUUGUUCUUUGGUUUAUGAGUUUACUUUGAUCUCUUCUCGUAGAGUUUAGAGUAAUCAUCUCUAGCGUAAACGUGGUGUUUGGGCUAGGAUACUCAUAGAUAUUCCCUGACUAGCUGGACCGUGGUAGUAGCAAGGAACGUGACAUUUCCGAGUUACCUUUGCAGACCAUAUCUCGUUAGUAGGAAGGAUAGGGUUUAUAGGUGCGGGUUGAACAUCCUCUGUGGUGUCUAGAUUCCGUAAGCUUCCCCAAUAGAACAGUAGAUCAUCCUUACCAAGGUUAGAACGAGACUACGGUUGCAGUCUUCUCUAUAUAUCACUCACAUCGAGAAACAUUCUUUGUAGCCUAAAGGUUAGUAGUAAUAGACUGGGUUAGUCAGACGCACUCUUUCUCCUAGUGGUAAAAAUAUAAAUACGAUACUCUCGAUAACAUCCCGGGUGAAGUGCUCACCAAUAUCCGUACGACUUGUCUAUUUUUACCUCUCGUCUCACUUUUUCUUUCUUUCGAGGUUCCGGGCACUUGCCCCUUUUUAUUUCCUCGUAUCUCUUUUUUAUUCUCUCUUUUUUUCUUUUUUUUAGAGCACUCAUCUCCUGAAAUAAUAUAGCAAGUGGUAGUAACCAAGAUAACUUGAGCAUUUAUUUCACAGGGAAAAACAGAAAUAGGAGAAUGUUUUUGGCUAUUCUCUCCCGGAUUAGGAGUAGAAUAUUUUUGGGUGGUUCUGGAGAUGGAAAUGGAUGGAUAUAUGUGGAUGGUACUUCUGGAGUAGAAGCAGCAUGUAUGAGUGAACGUGCAAGUGAAUCUUGAUUUAACCACAUGACAAGCUCCUAAGGGUCUACACAGCUUGACCACACUCAAUGCUCAUAAGUAGUAAAGUAAAUGUGUGGUUCAUAGUCUAGCAAGCAUGUAUAUAUGGCUGUGGAAGGAAUUUAAACUCUCAUCAUACAGGAACUCAUCAUGCAACAUUUUAAAGAUUUUCAAAGAUAAAUUUCUCCAUAAUUCUAGCAUCUCUAGGAAGAGAUAAACAGCAACUCAACCUUUCCAUAUCAUAUCCGUUAAUGACUUAGACUUUAGAUCAAGUACUCUCCCCAUAAGUUCAGGUUUAGAGCAAAUCUUAAUUAAUACCAGUCAUGCCUAAACUUGAGAGAGAUUUUAAUUUUGAGAACUAGCCAUGGCAGAGCAACUAUUCAUCAUUUCCAUGUGAGAGCUUAUCAUGAGGGUUCAUAGCAAACUUUAUUUAUUUAGCAAACUAAGCAAAGAUAUAUAUAAGCACAAAAUCUUUAUUUGGGUUUUUAUGAUUAUGCAUCUUUUUAUUAUUUGAGUAAAGUAUAAACGUGAGUAGAAACACUUAGCUGGAUAAAUGGGGGUGCUCUCCCCCAAGCUGGAUUUUGACGAAGUUUCUUCAGACCUUACAACUUCUCCUUCAUAGUCUACCCAUCUGUCCUUGAUGAUUUGUCUCCUCUGGCUGCGGUUGCGUCGUCGUCUUCUUGUCCUGACCUGCUUAGAGUCUUCAACUAUAUAGUUAGGGUCAGUAAAACAGUGGCGUAUCUUCUCUGAGGGGAAGUGCAUGUGGACUUCUCUGGUUCCAAUGUAUAUGAUUGCUUUAAUGGUGCUAAAGAACGGUCUUCCAAGGAUGAUGGGUGGAUCAUACUUGUCUUCUCCCAUGUCAAUAACCUUAAAAUCAUCUGGAGCUGAUUGUAUGUCGGUUUUAGGGGCAUGGUUCCGAAUAGGAGCUGAUAGGUGACUGGCGGCCAUUGUGUUGACGCCUGACCCGGUGUCGCAAAGCAUCUUCUGGAAGUUGUAUCCAUCAAUGGAGCACUGGAUGCUUGGCAUACUUGGGUCGUCCUUUUUGGUUAGGAACGGUGACUUAAGUCAACGAUCUUGACCUCCUUGAACUGCAGUGACCAUCUUUGCUGACUUGGUCCACAUUUUCUUGUUCCUGUUCCUCCUGUUGGUCCUCUUCCUUGUUUCAUGUCGGGAUUGCUCUGAGAUUUGUGUAGUCUUAUUCUUGAAGGUAAACGUCUCCUUCCUCCCCUUGAUGUAGAAACUGAUCUUGGCAGCACUAGCGUAGAUGACAGCUCCCGAGGUGUUCAGGAAUGGCCUCCGUAUGAUAAUGGGUGCCUUCUCAUCAGUACCAGUUUCUAUCACCACGAAGUCUGCUGGGGUGUACAAGGUACCAACUCGGAUGCAGAGGUUCUUCACUAUUUCCUUUGGGAAACUUAGCGUACGAUCUGCAAGCCUGGGCAUAAUGUUGACGCUGGAGCCAAAGUCACAGAGUGCUUCUGGGAAGUCCACCAUGCCGAUGGAGAUCGGGAUGACGGGGCGUCCUGGAUUGUCUCUCUUGACCGGCAGGAGGUCAGUAAUUACUUCCACAACGGGGUUACUCCAGUAGUUACGUCCUCAAGCAUCUCAGGGCAGUUAUUGCCUGAGUGUCCAGUAUCUCCAGUGUGUUUAUGCUCGUAGAUCUAGGUUCUUCACUUGGUGGAGUCUGGGAGUUGUAAAACUCCUUCAUAUUUUGCUCGAAGUGUACCUGCUCAUAGAGACAAGGCAGAGAUCAAGUGCAUGGGCUCUGUUGGUGGAAAACACCAACAGAACCAAAAGUGUAUUUGUUCUUCUCUAACCUCAAGCAUAGUGAGCAAGACAAAGUUGAUGGAUAAUAAAAUCAUGAGUGUAGUAUUUAACAUUUGUCAGAUUAGAUUGCUCAGCCAUGUGGAAAGAUAAUCUAUCUACAUAUAUGUUUUGUUUAUAUCUUCCAAAGAUUGAGUGUGCAACAUUUUAGCUAAUAUGAUUAGGAGUGUGGAAUCACAAAGGUGGAAGGACUAAACAUGUUGAAUCGAUUGGGUUGGUUAAUCAAGAGUUGUAGAUUAUACAUGUUUGUCUCUUCUAUUCAUGUGAAGGCCAGAACCAAGGAGAAGCUUAUAGAAGUGAUAGUCAAGUACUUUAAGAUGUUACCUUACUUGAAGAGUGAUGGUACAGUAUCACCUUGUGGAAGCUUUCCUCUCUCAGCGGUUGUGCAUUGUGUUUGUGGCACCCUCCAUGGAUCAUCUCUUGUGAGCUAUGCCUUUCUUGUGUAAAUUGUUAAACUUCAUGUGUGUCUCUCUUUGUCUCCAAUGUGAGUUUAUCUCAGGACUUCCCAGGUCGAUAUUCAAAGUUUUCCUGCAGGGGUUACUCCAACAAAAUAUACCAAUGUCUACACAAGCAGUUUUUAGUUCAAUAACCAAACUAGACUCCAUGUCUAAUUAGAUUAAGGAAGGCUGUUUAACCUAAGCACCAUGCUUAAUUUAAAAACCAAUAGAAGUAUGUACAGUACUUCCAAACUAACACUUACUAGGAUAAACAAAGGUAGCGUGAUGGCUUUUAUAGAGAUCUACUCAAGUGGAGAUGAAGUAAUGUGAUUACUAUUUAACAAAUUGAGCAUGUCUCAAAGGUAGGGACAACCAACAUAGCAACAUGGCAAAGAAUGUUUUUAUGUAAAGUACUCCCCCAAGCUUGAAUUUUGCAAAAUUCAAGUUUGGAUGAAUUUAAUUCAAUGUUGUAUGAUGAUUGGUUGUACAUACCUUGUGCUUGUCAUUCAUCCGAUCUUCUUGCUCCAAUCCUAGAAAGGUUAGUGACAAGAAUACCCGAAGGAAUUUUUUUUACAAUUAUCCUUAUAUGCUCAAUACACAAGGUAAUGUUGCAAAUAAUUAAAAGCUCAUGUUACCAUCUGAUCAGUGCUUGUUUUAGGACACUAAGCUUGUCCUUGGGAAACCAUCAAUUUAUGUCGGCGAAGUGGUUUCCCCUCCAACGCUGACCUAUAUCAAGAUCAACUCAACGAGAUCUGCAAUAUUUAAUAUAGACAUAUGCAUCGACAACCGCCCUUUUAAAGUUUUUAUAAAUAGAAAGGAUGAGGGGGUUGGAGAUCUCGAAUGUGGUGAUGUUGGAGAGACCAAUGGAUUGUGAAGAUGUUGCAUAUGAGCAUGGAGUAAAUGAAGUGGCUAUGAAAUAAAUUCCAUGCUCAUUAAUGCUUAGAGUGAAAUCCAUGUGGUAUGGUGAAAAUGGUAAGGCGAGUGUGAUAAAAAAGGAAAAGAAAAAGGAUACACGGACGACUUGGUUCAAAACUAGCACAGCUACCGUUCCCCGGCAACGGCGCCAGAAAGCUUGUUGGGUAUUUUAAACGCAAACAGAAAAAUCCGCAAGCGCACGGAUACCGAUGUAGCCUUCACCCGGGAGUAUUCCAGAGUAUCGAUUUUCCACAGAGAACGUGAGUGUACUAAUUAAGAUCCAAGAUCGCCCAAGGAUAACUAUAUAAUUAUUUUUGGUGGGAAGAGAGGAAGUUUCCUGAGAGUUCUCUAGUUGAUCUAAGAAUCAAGAAUUACUUCAAGAUUAUCUAUUUCGGGACAUCAGAACACUAACCACAGAAAGAGAUGAGAAGGGGGCUAGGAAGCUCCGACUACGGUCCUACAAACACCGAUCCGAACGAGGUGGAAUACGUCGACCGUUAGGGCUGUCACUACCCUAAGGCUACCACAACAAUCCGCAGGAUUGGGUGCAAUUCCAGGUAAUUACAAGACUAAACACCACGUCUAAUCUAUUAAUUACUACUCUAAUGUUUCAAAGAUUAGAGCACUUGAUGCAAGCGGGAAUCCAAUAAAUAACUUGAAUGUAAAUAAAAGUAAUUAGAGAACUUAGGAAUUAUGAAUUGAAGAACCUGGAGAACGAUGAAGAACGAACCAGUUGCUGCAAAAGUAUAAUGUUGAGGAAGAUCCGACAGAUCCGGCUCCUCCUCCGCUCUCCUCUUCUCUCUCCCUAUUUUCUAAAUUACAACUAGAACUAACUAGAACUAGAACUAGAGGAACUAGAACUAGAACUAGAUGAACUAGAACUAGAUCUAGAUGAACUAGAGGUAGAACUAGAAGAACUAGAGGGAUCCUCUCUACUUGGAUGAAGAAUUGAAACCCUAGCUUUGAUUCUGUACAAGAGGUAUGAUCUCCAGGGGCCAGGGGGUCUGGUUUUAUAGUCCCUUCAAGUGAAGCUGGGCCGUCGGAUCAAACCGACAUUGAUCGUGUGGUUUUCCUUGAAGUAUUAGGUCGGUGGAGCAUGAUCCCCGAGCUUCACCCUGAUUGGUCUAGGGGGGAGGGCGGGCGCCCAGUAAGGGAGGGCGGGCGUCCAGUGCCCGGCUCCGUUACGUUUCCCGUUCGCUCCCGUGGCUUCUGGACUCUUCUAGAUGGUAGAUAAUUGUGCGGCACGUUAAUAUCUCUAUGUAAACCCGACGUGUGGGCCUUUCUUCCGUAUUUCCUGAUAACCCCCUGCAGAAAUAGACAAACACCAAAACUUGUGGAAUUCUGUCAGAUAAAACCCUAAGUCUAGGUGUUGGUUGCAUUUGGAUCCUUUUCUAUGAUUAGUUGAUGGUUAAUUGUGAGCAUUAAGGACCGUCAACAAGCUCCCCCAAGCUUAACCUUUGCUCGUCCCUGAGCAAAGAUGAACUCAAGAGUUUCUGCAGUGGUUUCAUAACUUAAAGAUACACAUGAGUUUAAACAAGAUCUCAUCUCUGGUUAGAGUAAACUGUUAAGACUUAAAACUUACUCAUUUACCUUUCACCAUGGGACUUGUAACCGUCACUUCUGUCUUGAGUAGUUAAAAGAUAGAACGGUCUAGUCAAGCGCCAUGUCUCAUGUUCUUUGAUUAACUAUAGCUCUGGAGUUUUUGCAGAUUUUCAAAUAAAACUCAGAGAUUCCUUGUAUGACUCUCUCUAGUCUCUCUUUUGUGGUAUUUCUGGAUCCUUACCAAGGCAGUAAAGGUGUAUGCCUUCUCUCAAAGUAUGUGGUAUUUUUGGUAUGAGGCAUAGUGGCAUUGCCUUCUCUCUCACCCUACUCUAAUAAGGUUUUGAUAUCUGGAGCUCAUAGGUGGGAGACAGCUAAUACAUACUUACAAGACAUUUAUUGCAUAGUCAAACCAUGGAUCCAGAGAAACAAGUCAACAAGUCAAAUCAAGAUGUGCAUGUGUGGCGAAUGAAUGGUGUAUGGUGAUGAUGGUGAUAAUGGUGAAAGUCUAUUUCUACUUAUGCUCUUUUGAGGGGAUACACACCUUCCUUGCUCUUUUGAAACUUUUGGAGAAAAUGAGAUGCUCUAUUUUUUUUUCUCAGGUGGGUAUCUUGUACCCCUAAUUCUACUGUCGGACACUUGUCUAUUUUUACCUCUCGUCUCACUUUUUCUUUCUUUCGAGGUUCCGGGCACUUGCCCCUUUUUAUUUCCUCGUAUCUCUUUUUUAUUCUCUCAUUUUUUUCUUUUUUUUAGAGCACUCAUCUCCUAAAAUAAUAUAGCAAGUGGUAGUAACCAAGAUAACUUGAGCAUUUAUUUCACAGGGAAAAACAAAAAUAGGAGAAUGUUUUUGGCUAUUCUCUCCCGGAUUAGGAGUAGAAUAUUUUUGGGUGGUUCUGGAGAUGGAAAUGGAUGGAUAUAUGUGGAUGGUACUUCUGGAGUAGAAGCAGCAUGUAUGAGUGAACGUGCAAGUGAAUCUUGAUUUAACCACAUGACAAGCUCCUAAGGGUCUACACAGCUUGACCACACUCAAUGCUCAUAAGUAGUAAAGUAAAUGUGUGGUUCAUAGUCUAGCAAGCAUGUAUAUAUGGCUGUGGAAGGAAUUUAAACUCUCAUCAUACAGGAACUCAUCAUGCAACAUUUUAAAGAUUUUCAAAGAUAAAUUUCUCCAUAAUUCUAGCAUCUCUAAGAACAGAUAAACAGCAACUCAACCUUUCCAUAUCAUAUCCGUUAAUGACUUAGACUUUAGAUCAAGUACUCUCCCCAUAAGUUCAGGUUUAGAGCAAAUCUUAAUUAAUACCAGUCAUGCCUAAACUUGAGAGAGAUUUUAAUUUUGAGAACUAGCCAUGGCAGAGCAACUAUUCAUCAUUUCCAUGUGAGAGCUUAUCAUGAGGGUUCAUAGCAAACUUUAUUUAUUUAGCAAACUAAGCAAAGAUAUAUAUAAGCACAAAAUCUUUAUUUGGGUUUUUAUGAUUAUGCAUCUUUUUAUUAUUUGAGUAAAGUAUAAACGUGAGUAGAAACACUUAGCUGGAUAAAUGGGGGUGCUCUCCCCCAAGCUGGAUUUUGACGAAGUUUCUUCUGAUGUAGCUAGCAGGUGGCGGAGGUGUAUUUGAAUGUCAGCAGCACCCUGACAGCGAUUAGGAUGUCCUCCGUCUGCUAGUCUUCUUUGAUCCUUGAAUUCUGUGGAGCUCAAAUAGACAACAAAGCUUUGUGGAACUAGUUAAGUGUUAGCAUAAAUAUCUGACCUUUAUCAUGUUGAGCCUCCUCAAUAAAUAUUACUCUCUUUAGUAGGAUCAUAAAUUUAUUUUUAUAAUUUUAUUUUUUAUAGGAUAGAAAUAUAUUUAUUUCAUUUUUACGCCACCACAGUGGAUGUACUUAUGGGUUUUAUGCCAUGAGCAUACUCACAUGGGGCUUACUAUUUUUAACAUUUUUAUUUUCUUUUCAAGAUGAUAUGAACCUGAUUAACUAAGCAAACUAUUUUAAAUAGUUGAAAGGAAAAAGAUAACUACCAAGUUUACCUCUUGGCAAGACGUUCGGUGUUUUUAAGUCCUCCGAACGGGAGUCUCCAUUUUCUCAGUCGUCCUGGGAUUUGCUGGAUGGCGUAGUCGGUGGUUCCGGCGGCGCCUGCUCUUCAUGUAUAACUAUCUUCUCUCUACACACCUGACUCGGUGCUAUGGUCUCCUCAGGACAGUUCUGUUCAAGUUGUAUGUCUUCAGACCUUACAACUUCUCCUUCAUAGUCUACCCAUCUGUCCUUGAUGAUUUGUCUCCUCUGGCUGCGGUUGCGUCGUCGUCUUCUUGUCCUGACCUGCUUAGAGUCUUCAACUAUAUAGUUAGGAUCAGUAAAACAGUGGCGUAUCUUCUCUGAGGGGAAGUGCAUGUGGACUUCUCUGGUUCCAAUGUAUAUGAUUGCUUUAAUGGUGCUAAAGAACGGUCUUCCAAGGAUGAUGGGUGGAUCAUACUUGUCUUCUCCCAUGUCAAUAACCUUAAAAUCAUCUGGAGCUGAUUGUAUGUCGGUUUUAGGGGCAUGGUUCCGAAUAGGAGCUGAUAGGUGACUGGCGGCCAUUGUGUUGACGCCUGACCCGGUGUCGCAAAGCAUCUUCUGGAAGUUGUAUCCAUCAAUGGAGCACUGGAUGCUUGGCAUACUUGGGUCGUCCUUUUUGGUUAGGAACGGUGACUUAAGUCAACGAUCUUGACCUCCUUGAACUGCAGUGACCAUCUUUGCUGACUUGGUUCACAUUUUCUUGUUCCUGUUCCUCCUGUUGGUCCUCUUCCUUGUUUCAUGUCGGGAUUGCUCUGAGAUUUGUGUAGUCUUAUUCUUGAAGGUAAACGUCUCCUUCCUCCCCUUGAUGUAGAAACUGAUCUUGGCAGCACUAGCGUA